UACGAAGGGAGCUAGCGUUGUUCGGAAUUACUGUGCGUAAAGCGCAUGCAGGCUGAUCGUUAAGUUGUAGGUGAAAUCCCGAGGCUCAACCUCGGAACUGCCUUCAAUACUGGCAAUCUUGAGUCCGGGAGAGGUGAGUGGAACUCCGAGUGUAGAGGUGAAAUGCGUAGAUAUGCGGAAGAACACCAGUGGCGAAGGCGGCUCACUGGCCCGGUACUGACGCUGAGGCACGAAGGCCAGGGGAGCAAACGGG
rnacentral:rRNA from 1 species